UAGGGAAUCUUCCGCAAUGGGCGAAAGCCUGACGGAGCAACGCCGCGUGAGUGAUGAAGGUCUUCGGAUCGUAAAACUCUGUUAUUAGGGAAGAACAAAUGUGUAAGUAACUAUGCACGUCUUGACGGUACCUAAUCAGAAAGCCACGGCUAACUACGUGCCAGCAGCCGCGGUAAUACGUAGGUGGCAAGCGUUAUCCGGAAUUAUUGGGCGUAAAGCGCGCGUAGGCGGUUUUUUAAGUCUGAUGUGAAAGCCCACGGCUCAACCGUGGAGGGUGAUUGGAAACUGGAAAACUUGAGUGCAGAAGAGGAAAGUGGAAUUCCAUGUGUAGCAGUGAAAUGCGCAGAGAUAUGGAGGAAACCCAGUGGCGAAGGCGACUUUCUGGUCUGUAACUGAAGCUGAUGUGGGAAAGCGUGGGGAUCAAACAGG
rnacentral:rRNA from 1 species